ACAUUUUUUGUUACUUACCCCAGUGUUAGUGUAAAGUAUGCAGGUAAUUUAAAUAAGUACGUAGUUAUGGUACACAACAUAAGAUGUACAAACGACAGCAUUAAUUUUUGACUUUUUGACACCGGGCAUAAAAUUUACAUUCAAAUGUUUCAUGCUUAUUUGUAUCGAAGUUGAGAGAAGCUACAUGAUAUCAUUAUUUACGAUAAUAAAUACCGUGCGAGUUGAUGUAAAUAACUUGAUAAAUGCAUAUGAUGCUGAAUGUCAAGCUCCAAAGCGUAUGAAAAUUUGGGCAAGCUUGGAAAAGGAUCUUAUGGAGCCGUUACAAAGAAUCGCCAUAUUUUGACUGGCGAUGUGGUUGCCAUUAAAUGCUUUCCUUGCUGACGACAAGGAUUACGCUGUCGUCAAAAAAAGUGUUUUGGUGGAAGUCAGCGCAUUGCGCGAUGUGUGCCACGACAAUGUCGUCAAGUUAUUCCAUGUUUUUAUGGAAAAUUCCGUGUUUUAUAUGGUUUUUGAAUAUGUCAGUAAAACACUGUUGGACGUGAUCCACGAAGCUCCGAAAAAAUGUCUGGGGGCGGGUCCGCGCACCAAAUCUUUCCUGUUCCAGCUCCUGCGCGCUGUAUCAUAUAUCCAUUCCAGGA